GGAAUGUGGAUUCGGAGGUCUUGUCCUUAUAUGGCUAGAGGUAAACGCUGACGUUAGUAUUAGCACAUCUUUAUAGUAACAGAGGGACACGAGGUCGCUCUCAGUCUUGGUCUUGGCUUGAGUCUUGGCUCUGUACAACGAUGUAACUCUCCCAUCAGAAGUCCAGCAAUUACCAUCUGCUGUUGAAUGUCCAUUAUCCUGUAACAUCAUUUAUUAUGUUUUAUU